rnacentral:rRNA from 1 species
GACGAACGCUGGCGGCGUGCUUAACACAUGCAAGUCGAACGGAAAGGCCCUGCUUUUGUGGGGUGCUCGAGUGGCGAACGGGUGAGUAACACGUGAGUAACCUGCCCUUGACUUUGGGAUAACUUCAGGAAACUGGGGCUAAUACCGGAUAGGAGCUCCUGCUGCAUGGUGGGGGUUGGAAAGUUUCGGCGGUUGGGGAUGGACUCGCGGCUUAUCAGCUUGUUGGUGGGGUAGUGGCUUACCAAGGCUUUGACGGGUAGCCGGCCUGAGAGGGUGACCGGCCACAUUGGGACUGAGAUAUGGCCCAGACUCCUACGGGAGGCAGCAGUGGGGAAUAUUGCACAAUGGGCGGAAGCCUGAUGCAGCAACGCCGCGUGCGGGAUGACGGCCUUCGGGUUGUAAACCGCUUUCGCCUGUGACGAAGCGUGAGUGACGGUAAUGGGUAAAGAAGCACCGGCUAGCUACGUG